rnacentral:misc_RNA from 1 species
AAACCUUCAAGCACCGCUUGAUGUUGGGCGUUUGUCCCGCCUCGGGCGUGGACUCGCCUUAAAAGCAUUGGCGGCCUGUGUAACGGCUUCGAGCGCAGCAGAUGCGCGCCUCGUCUCCUCGCACCGGCGUCCAGCAAGCCUAACUUCUCA